GACGAAACAAUCCUUUUCCAGCUUGAGACCAAGGACAACCUAUACAAAUUUCAGGUCCCAAAAAGCAUAAACUACAGUGGACUGAAGAGAGAAAACAAGAAGGAUAGGACUUCAUAACCUGAAUCUGUAAUUGGACAAUUAACCUCAAUAUGCAAAUGGACCCAAACAUAAAAGUGCGAAACCUUGCCACCGGUCGUCCAUUUUGUGACCAUUUUGGGUCUAUCUUGGGUAUAGCCCUGGCUGGGCUCUUGUACUGCCCAAGGUGUAUCCUUCAAGGCCUUUUAAUAAAUACCUACUUUAUUCUCUUAGCUCUGUCUAGCCUCUGUUCUAGGUCAGCCUCUCAAGGCAUCAGUACGUGGCAUGCUCAAAAUCCAUGGCCUUCUCAUACUUCUUGGCAGAUUAGGUUUAAGAAAUACAUACAAGAUCAGUCUUGAAAUAUGUGCCCAUGUCAACAGAGUUAAAAAAUGAGAAAAGAAAAAGGAAGGAAUACUUAGCCCACACCUUUGUUAUAUUGUGAGAAUAAAGUUGAUUAUUGACAGCAAUAUCAAAGUUGAAGCUGGGAGCUUUCAGUACUAUUCACCUUGUUAGUCCAGAAUAUUCUGCUGAAUGGAAAUAUUUGAAAGCAUCCAAUAUUAGUGGUGCAUUUAAUCUGAUUGGUAUCUAAGCCUCAUCUAGCUUCUCACUCCCUCUCCCAACAGUGGGAUGGGGGAGAGAAUUGGAGCAGCAAAAGUGAAAAAACCUUCAGGUUGAUAAAGACCAUUUAAUAAGUGAAGGAAAGGGAGGUAUAACCACAUGAUGUAAAGGCAAUCAUUCACCACCUCACGCCAGCAGACCAAUGCUCAGCCACUUUCCAAGUGAUGGUUAUCUUGGAAGGACUCUCCCCCUGCUUUAUUGAUGAGCAUAAUGUUAUACAGCAUGGAAUAUCUCCUUGGCCAGGCAGGGUCAGCUGUCCCAGCUGUAUCCCCUCCCAAACUCUUGCCCAAUCCAAACGGCUUCCACUGAGAUAGACUGUGAUAGAAAAGGCCUUGACUCUAUGCAAGCACCAUUGAGCUGUGGCCAAACAGUUGUGUUUUACCAACAGUGGUAUUGUCACAAAUCAUAGCUGUAGCCUCACACAGGAUGCUAGGAAGAAAAUGAGCUCCAUCCCAGCCAGACCCAGUAUACUACUGGACAACAAAGGAGUGAUUACAGGUACUGAAUUCAGAUUACAAAAGCAAGUGCUCGGGUUGUUGACAGCUCUGCUCUAGACCAAGUAGGUGUUUACUUUAUUUGGGUAUAUAGUAUAUAAAGUUGAAAACAGCUUUAUAUCCUAAAUUCAACAGCCUGAGACUGUUAUAACUAACAAAGCUAUGAAUGCCCACCUCCUUUAAGCAAUACUGUAUUUCUUUCAUGAAAAUAAAAGCUAUACAUAUUAUAAAUUAUAGAACUCUUUCCAUGCAGGACAAAGGCUGUUUUUAAGACAAGCUGUGCUUUACUGAACUUGUAUUGCCUUUUUUAAAUAUAGACCUUUACACAAAUCUCAUUUGACUUUAUUGCCUUUCAGUCUUAAGCUUCAUGCUCUGUCUCCUUCAGUAUUUGAAAAUCAAUUAUUUCAAAGUAUUAAUGUUAUGAAGAGUGAGCAAAAUUUACACUAAAAGAAAUUGUUCAAAACAUUCAAAUUGCUUGUAAUUAUUUAGAGUGGCCUCACUUAGAUGAAAAAACAAUUACUAUGCUUAUAUCUUACUCUUUUGUUAGCUUACCAGCUCAUUUUAAUUUUCAAAACUCAUAUGCUUACAUACUACUCACUGUAUAGUAGCAGCCUGCACUGUCUCAACGACAGGAUAUUAAAUACCCUGCACUCUGCUUCCAUUUAGUGUAGAAAGGAAUCUAGAUCUGCUGCAUCCAGAAAUGGAAUUAAGUUAUCACAGUAUAUUGAUUUCAACACUGAGAAAUUGUGUGUCUUGGAUGAAAAAUUUAAAUUUGAAAUAAUGUUAAAGUAAAAAUAAGAGAGAAUAUUAUCUGUUCAUUUUAAAGAGUAUUAGAAAUAUGAGACAAAAUUAAGAACUGAAAAUUCAGGUUUCUGCAUCAUCCUCACUCAACUCUGAUGUUAUUACUUGCCAAAAUAACUUGGGUUUGUUCCCAUAGCUUAGCUAAAAGUUUAUUUGUUGAUAUAUGAUCUCACAAAAAUCUUUCUCUGAGUUGGGAUGGGAAAACAGCUUAGACAUCCAGCCCUUCCUCUGGAAAGGUUUUGUAAAGGCUCCAUUGCUUUGGUCAGACUUUUGUGUCUGGGCUCAUAAUCUGGGAAGAGCAAAGCCAUGAAUCCCUCAAAGUUAUUAUUUUAUAUAGAGUGACCUGUUCUCAGGCUACUUUUUAGGUUAUUUCAACCAGGGAGGUUGGCAAGAAAGAUGAGGGUAAUACCUACCUAUAGUAUAAUAGGCUCUUCCCACUAAGCUCCUGAAAGCUGAAACACUGUGGAUUUUCUAUCUUAUAAAUAUCCAGUUAAAGAAGAAAAAGGAAUCAGAUUAUCCCCGAAUUUAAGUGAUACUGGGAUCCCAUUACAAGCAGAAACUUUUUUAUGUUCCAUUGCCCGAAGAGUUUUCUGAAAUUAUUUCUUGUAGAGUUCAGAUUGUUGAACAAUGAUGUUUGAAGUUUGGAGGAGGAAGAUUUGGAUACAAUGGAAUUAUCUGAGAUGUGACCAUCAGCCAGGAGAACAACCACAGACUUUCAGCCCUCUUGAGGACCAGACCCAGCAUAUUUCACUCGCCUUGUUCUGAUGAAACUUCACUACUUCUGAUGAAGGAGGAAGUGGAGAUGCCAACAUUUGAUGCUGAUUCAGAGGCACCCACCACAUGCUAUAAAAGCUGCUGCCUGAAAGGGAUUAUGUGUUCCUUGAACUAUUAUAUGCUUAAGGAGAUAUGAAUAAACUUCCAAAUUGCAAAAUGAUUGAAAAAAUAGAAAUACUCCCACAGAAAAGAAAAAAAAAAAAAACCAACAAGGAGAACCAAAAAGGAACUAGAAGAAAUGGAAUCAAUUCAUGACAAAUUUUGCCAACACAUUUUAUAUGAAUAAGAUGUCAGAUGUCCUGGAGUUAUUUCUACAACUAGUCUACAAACAAGAACUGUCAGUACAAGAAAAAAUGGGUUGCAUCUGCUUAUUCUUUAGUUCUAGAAUAUUUACAAACCUGUAGCAAAGAAUAAUCCAAAAAGGCUUUCUUGUUCAGUAGAUGAUACAAUGAAGAAUCAGAAGACUAGUUUGUUCUGUUACAAUUUUGAGCAGCAUUGAGGCUAAGUCAUGCUAGACACUGCACAGACCAUAUAUAAGCCCUUUGACCUCAUCCUCUAGAUCCUGCAUCAGAGAGUGAAAAACAUCUAAAAAGGGACCCAUUUUUCAGAGCUUUUUUAGUCAGACAUUGUCUCUUACAUAGGUGUGAUGGUCACUUUUCACUGAGGCUAUUUUCAUCAUCGUUACUCUCAAUCAGCUCCUUAAAAUAUAUUAAAUAACUUCAGGUCACCAUGCUGUUUUUGAUAAGUGCAAAUUAUUAUCUACUUCUUGGUCUGAAAGUUCAGACAGGAGAAAAAGCCACACCUUUAAUUUCACUAGUCCUUGGCAUUUAUCAGAGGAUUUUUUUAAUCAGCAAAGAAUCAUAGUGGGCUGAAAAUCUGAAUUCAACAAUCCAGGAAUUACUGAACCAAGCUAUUUCAUAAUAUAUUGCAGUUCAGUUUCAGUAUAACCCUAAGCUUUAUUGCAUUCUUUUCUUUUCUUUAGAAGCAAAUUUGCCUUAGGCACACUAUUUUGGACAGUCUAGAAUACAUCCUCCAUAAACCUAAAUUCAUAUGGUAAGCUCUUAUUCUUAAAUCCAAUCUUAUCCUUAUUUUGGGAGAAAAACUAAAGAUAAGGAUCAGUUUCUACACUUGGCCUUAGCUGCUUCAGAAAAAGGAAUGCAAACUGACAAAGCGUCUUUAUUUCUACUUAUUAUUCCAAUUACUUAUCUGCACUUUGGAUCAUGAUUGCUUCUAUUUAUACUGGGAGCCUACACAUUGCACUAUUUCUGCAUGACUGCUUGUCAAACAAACACCUCAGACAACGAUAAACAGCUCUGUUUGAUAAUUAGAAAUUCAGAAUUUUUCAGGGGAAACAAGUGAAUAUUUUUUAAAUAGAAGGUGACUGAGCUGCGAAAUGGGGCUGUAUGCCUCAAAUUUAGUAACUGAGACAGCUAGAAGUAAAAAAAAUCCUAAAAAGAUCAGGGCUCACAGUACAUAAAGCAAACUUUUAGUAACAAAACAUAUUUACACACAUGAAACAUUCAAAGUUUGUAACAUGCUAUGUAGCAGGUGGCUGCACUCUGUAGACAUUCAUAAAAAAUAAUUCAGGUGAUCCCAUUCUGACUAAAAAGUUGUUCAAAAUUAGCAUUAAAUGAAUGGGUUUUUUACUAAGGAAGUACAAAAAAUUGUAUAUAGGUUGCUCUGCCUCUGUUUUGAAAGGCCAUUAGAAAUGGAAUUAAUAUGUAAUAACAGUUUUCAUUACUAAAAAGACAUUAUUUUAGCUCUUGUUAUAAAGACUUUACACGCAGCACAGACAAGAACACAAAACCUGAACAAUAUUGUAUGUUAGGAAAUGAUGUAAUUAAGUCAAAGUGACAGUCAUGUUUCUAUCUGAAAAUUAGGGCAGCUAAUGGGGAGCAUUGACACAAACUGUUUUUAGCCUUCCAAGAACCUGAGGUGGCAGUGACAUGCCCUAUGGGUCUGGCUCUCAGGACACUCUCUGUGACAAAUUUUCUCCUUCACACACUGUGGAGCAAAGUAGCACUAAAGAAUUACUUGAGAGGAAGUCUGUCAGCCCCUAUAAAUUUGGGCAGAAAGGCACAGGCGAUUUUGAGGGAGCAGUACUUGAUUUCCUUCCAAGGAAGUUAACAUAAUGCAGUCCACUUGUUAAGAGCCUGCUGUGGCAAGGUGUUGAGAGCUCUCUGGUUCAAUGGGCCGUAGUCAGCGUGGGAUGCUGAGCACAUUUCAAGUUGCUCCCUGAAUCAUGCAGGCAUCCAAUAUGCUCACAACUGUUUUAGCAGUCACCCUAAAGAUUUGCACAUAACCCACGGACACAAAAAAAAGAAGGUUGAAGCAUAUGGCAAGAUUUUAAAUUUCUCUGAAAGACAUCAGAGAACUUUCCAUGCAAUCACAAAAUAUUACACAUUCAAAUGCUUAAAACUAUUUGUAAAAGAUCACUGUCAUACUGCAGGAUUGAUUCUUCUGUUAUUCUUCUUUUGCUUCAGUGAGCCCCUGCUGAGAAUCUGAGAGUGCAUUGGCUCCACAGGUUUUUAUGCAGUAGCAUUUAUUGAAAGAUACCAGCAAACACAGAGCUGUAGUUAGACAGAUGCCAGCAUAAUUUCUUUAGCUGCUAAGGCAGGUUUAUGUAUAGAAAUCCAAACUUUUGCAGGUUCAGAUUUGUCCUGUCAUCUACCCAGGAUGUUUGCUCCAGCUGAGAAGUUUCAGAGGGGCGCAAGUUCCCAGACAGGUGAUAUCUGCAAAAUGCUGCUCUUACUCUCAGUCCCUUGCUCCCCCAUUCAUCUUGUGUAAACUACACAUGCUGAAUUGCUAUCUAAUCCUAGAAGGUCCUUCUAAAACUAACUUACUGCCAGUUUUGGCCAGACAGCUGCUUUAUCUUCCCCUAUGUUCAGGGCUCAGAGUCGCACCCCCUUUCACUGACAGGAAGCAAGUUGCCUUACCCUGCUAAUCUUUUGAGAUUGUCACAACAAUUCAGUGUGGCAUGUUGACAAUACAGCUAAACUCAGUCCUUCUGCUCCAAAUGUAGAUGUCCCUUACACUUUAGAUAAAGGAAAACCUUUGCUAAAUCCUUACCACAGCCAUGGUUAUAGUGACAUUUUUUGGUGCCAAUAUUUGCUUCAGCGGUUCCUCGCUCCUUCUCUCUCCACUCCUCCAUCACCAUUCCAGCCCUUGUGUUGCCCCAUUAAUUAUGCUGCUACAACUGUCUUUCAGGACAUGCCAAUGACCAGUAUACAAAUAAUUUGGCAGGGAAAAUGAAAUCAUGUUUAAUGCUGGUCAGUUUUCCCACCUCAUUCUUCCUACAGGCCUGAAGAGUGGCACCAAGAGAAGAGGUGGCGUGUCAGGCAUACACAUCAGUUUCACCACUAACAGAUGGUCUGUGCAGCCAUGCCCAAUGAACUACAUUAGAAACAUGAUUCACUGGGAAAGUUAAUUCAGUUAUACAGGCUGACUCACCACAGGUUUAUUGUGGAAUAGUGCAAUUAUGCUACCCUCUACAGAAUACCAAGGCUAGUUUGGCAAGACAGCUAAGCUGACCUAACACUGUGUCACUGCUAAAAUUGGCUGUCCAGUCUCUCCUCUCUCAGGCCACCAUGAAUGUGCUCCUGCCCCAGACGUCCACCACCAUGGGCACCUAAUCGACCCCAACAGGAGCUGUAAUUCUAUUAACAUAUUUUUAUAGGGUUCAUUUUUUUCCUACGUCUAGAACCCUAAACCGAGUCACCACGGGGACAAGUGCCAUGCAAAGGAGACAGGGCAGUCAUGCAGUUGGGAAUGAGAUGGCAGAAAAGGGAUGAGACUGGCUCUUUGGGCAGCAGUGAGCAAUUAAGCUGGUUUAGAUUUAGGGUCAAACUACAUAAUGACUAAAGAAAGCACAAAGAAGUACUACCUAUCUGUCAGUCUCCAGUGAACAUAAAAGGGCAAGAAGGCUCAUUUUCCUGGCUUAACGUGGUGGCAUGUGUUAGUACCAGGCAAAGAAAGUGGAUUAAUUUCUGCUGAAACAAGAGUUUUGGGAGGAUAACAGGCAUGGCUCAUUAGCUCCACUAGGGGUAGGGGAGGGGAAGGUGGCUUUUCCCCUAAGGGCUUAGGUAAACACAGAACUUUACAGGAAAGUGCUUUAAGCAGCCAAGCUUGAGAGGAAAUAUCAGACUAAUAUUUGCACUCUAGCUGUUCUUUCAAUUAACAGCAGAGAUACACUCUAUGGAAAUUACAAGAUUGAUUAUGCUUAUUCUCUAUCCCAUGCAGACUGUCAUUUUUAAUAGCCUUUUACUGAUUCUUUGGUAGAAGAUUUCUGAAAUGCAUCUUCCCUCAGCUGGUGAUUUGAAAAUAUGGAGACUUCAGCAUUAAUGCCAGCCAUGGAGUAAGAAGGGUUAAUUUGGCAUCCCACUUGGCCUGAGAUUUUCCACUUCUUAUAUAUGCCUGUGCACUAAAUGAGAGAAGCUAGGCUAUGCAGAUGAAGAAGGUCUUCUUAGAAAAAAAUAUGAUGCUUGGAAGGAUGUUCUUCUACUCUGAAUACCUGGAUCUAGUGGAAAGUGUUCCUGCCCAUGGCAGGGGGAGUAGAACUAGACAAUCUUUAAGGCUCCUUUUAACACCCAAAAUUUUAUGGUUCUAUGAAUACAGACACAGGAACAACAUCAACAAAAAAGAAUUAUAGUAAAUUAAGAAGAUUAUUUCUCCCUCUCUCCCCUUGCCCACAGAAAAAUGUCAUCUGUGAGAAGAAAGACCUGGAUUUUAUUUUCUACUUUUUAGAUUUGUUGUCUUUUUUUAAUCUAAAAUUUUAUUUUAUAAAAAUAUGAACAGAUACAGGUAAUUUUAAGGUGCAUUUGGAAUUAAGCUACCAUUAGUUAGUAUGAUAGAAGCUUAUUGGCUAUACUAUGAGCCACAGGCCCAUAGCCCAUGCCUUACAUUUAAUCAGAACAUUGGACAUUUUUAUCAGCACCUAUUUUUAAGUAGUAACUCUUUGGUUAUAACACUAAACACCUGUUUCAAGUCAAAAGACUCAAUGAAUUUAGCUCCAAUCUUUGACAGCUUCACAGAAUGUGGCAGCAACUUGGGCCAUAGGUUACAGUCUGCACAGGCAGGGCUACCUCUAUGGACAUAUGCCACCAAGCUUGAUGAAUAUAACCCAAGAGAUCAUCAAGAGCCUGAGCAGACCUCAGCAUGACAGGUGAGCAAUUUGUUUAGCUUUUGUACCAUGAAUAAAGGUUUAGCAAUAAACUGACCAUCCCAGUUAGCAGCUUACAGCACUGCAAGUGGACUUGAAGCCAAGUGGUUCUCCACUGGUGACAUGUUUUCUCACAAACAAAGUCUGUCAAGCCAGUUUUCCUUUUAGUUCUUCUUAUUUAAGGUUUGGGGAUAAACCACUGGCAUUUUAAAGGAGAUGAAACUGUGACUUCUCUGUUAUGGAAUCCAGCCCUUCAAAGUUCAGACAGAAAUUCCAGGUUGUUUUGUUAUCCAGUCUUGCUUAUUCACCUGUUACCAGCCCCACAAUGUUUCCAUUCAACAGAGAAAAAUUUGCUUGAUUCCUACCUCUCAACAAACAGAAAUUAACUGACUUGCUUGCAACCAUGCAUGAAGACAUUAGACCCAGCUGCUGUACAUCUAUAGCAGGCCUCGAGUUAAGAUUAAAGCAGUGUACAGUGCCAAGUAAAUUGACCUAACCAGCAGUUUUCUCUGGAAAGAAUACUGAACAGCACUGUAAUAUACCUCCUCUAAUUUUCUUGUGUCAGCACUAAAGAUAACAUUAGGUAUUUGCUUCACAUCAUUUACAAGCAAAAAAGCUUGCAUGGGAAAGUGUAGCAAGGAGAUGAAGCAGUAAGGGAAAAAGCCUGGUGAAAUGCAGGUUUGUGGGAAGGAAUCUGGGACAGAAAUAGGGAAGGGCAUUAAAGCCUUUCCUUUGGCAUUCGCUUUCUCCAGAGCUGCCCCACGCUGCAAUGCUUAAAAAGAACUGCCUGCACAAAGCAAUUCAGGACAGGUUCCUGCUUCACUUGAGCAACCUUAUCCCAGAGAGAGCUGGUACACCGUGCAGGUUUCACACUGUUUCCCAUGCAGGCACAGCCCCAGCAGCAGAAAGCCCCCAGGUCUCACCCUGAGCCUGGGUUUCCACGCGGUGCCUGCAGCCGUCACGGCACUGCCGGCAGGGAUUACUAAUUCUGGCAGCGUGGGACUGCAGAGCUGACACCUGCCUACCCAGCCCCAAACCUGCAGCUUCCUUCACAGGCCCUCCUGCAGACAUCACAUUGGAACAGCUGUCAAUCACCCGUGCCCCAGGACAGAUCCGUGCAGAUGACCUGCAAGUGAAAUAUUUCCCCCUAUUAAUCCCUGAGAGCCACCAAGGGCUCCCUUUAACAACUUAAGAUGUCACUCUGUCAAACAAAAAUGGUACUAAUUUCUGGUUACGAAGUUUUGUUUCCUAGUAAUUACUUAUAUCAAAGAAGAAGAAGAGCAAAUCAGUGACCUGUUCUUUGCUCUUGGUUUUCUUUGAGCCCACUGAUCCUUGGGAUAGCAACAGCCAUAGGAAUCACAGCUUCCUAGGACCUGGCAGCUCCACAGUCUAGCAAGUGUGUUAUGGUAGUGAGCUUGAAGUUAUGCCCUAGUGAGCAAAGAGCAGCAAGAAAGCUGAGCAGUGAACAGCCAAAGGGACCAGGGAUCAAAGGAUACUCCAUCUCCUGGCUAUGGUGGGGUGAUAACAGGGCAGGCCAAAUACAUCUGCUAAAUAUGGUCUGGAGAUGGUAUCAUCAGUGGGGACUUCUUAACCUACACUGAAGGCAGAAACCCAAACCAAAACAUGAGCUUGGAAGUGUGUUAAUGUUUAGCUAUUCAUAGCCCAGCUGACCUGGCAAGCCGUGUACUUGUUCCCUCUGCCAAUAAAAUUAUAAGGAUCUAGAUACUUGGGGUUGCAUAUGAGAGAGAAAUCUUAAUGAAUUCAAUAUGGCACCUUCAUGUUGCUUAUUUUAUACGGCUACUCAAAUACUUACAAUUUAAAAAUAUAAAUGUAUUCCUUCUGUGGAGACACAAAAACAUGGCUAUUGGGCCCCUAUUGAAAAACAGCUUAUGUGGCAAUUUUUAGCUAGAUUUGGUUUAAAAAUGAACUAUGCACACAUAAAAAAAUAUCUAUUUUUCUAACGAGAGACUUUCAAAGAGCCUUUUGAAAAUUAGCUAUGCAUUGGAGCCAAAUAUUUCACAAAAAUAACUUGGAAACAAUACACUGGUAUUUUUUUCUUGGAUUACUCUCAAACGGAGGCUUCUGACUAUAAUAGUAUGCAGCACUUGCAUGAUAUGGACAAUUGCCUUGGGACUGAGAAAUCAAUUCUGCAAAGCACUAAAAAUGCUGAAGAUCAGCACUUUGUGGGAUAUCACCAGUUCUUUCUGGGACUAGUUAGUUGCUGAGAUACUCAAACUGACUUAGUGCUACUGAUAUAUUUCAAAUUUUAAACAUAAUCUGUAUGUCUUAAUACUACUUUUGCAAAUGGUUUUUCCUUCAAGCAUCUACAGAUAAAUCCUUUAAAGUCUCUUCUGCAAAAGACCAAUGUUUGUGAGUAUAUACUUCAAGGAAAACUAUGGAUUAACUCUGUAGGUCAAGGUAUAUGCAACAUUCAAAACUGUGUUUUACUGGAAAUGGUUAAAAAUAUUGCUUCAGGAUGGAUGAAUUACUUUUAUAGAGAAUACACUUAUGAAAAAAUAACCAGGUAGAUAUUUGUGGUUUAAGAAGAUCUAAUAGCAAAUAGAGGAUCUAUUUUUUUAAAGCAUAUAUGGACUACGAUGAUUUUACAGUGUCUUGGAUUGUUCAGCUAUUCAGAAAAAUUUAACCACCAGUUUCUCCUAUUCAGCUGCAACACUUCUGAAACAAGCUAAUACUUACAGAUUAAAGUGGUGUUCUAGAUAUGUAACUGGAAUGCAAAAAUUUUAUGAUGAAGAUUUAGAGAAAAAUUAACAUAAGUAGCUGUGCCAGGGCUGGUUGACUUUCAAAUACCCACCCAUACCUUGAUUUUUCAGAAAAUAUUUGCUUGGCUCUUAAAAAUCUGUUUCUCUGAUUAUUUUUUCUAAAGUGAAGCAUCUCUAAUCACAAGUCACUUGAAAAUUUAUUCUUUCUUCCCACUAAUGCAUUUUGAUAACUACACUUUCUACACUUCUAUCAAUAGUGAAAGAGUGAAGAGAGAGUUUCUAAAAGUGAAUCUUGUCAGCAAAUAAGUCAUUAGUAUGCCACCUAAAUAGCUUCAGUCUUGGCAUGCUAAAUAGUCAUGCUCUGAUAAGAUUUUGGCAUGACCCUUUAAUUAUUCUUGCAAAGAACACAAGUAAUUAAAUCAUUAUGUACUCAGUUUUCUUGAUUUGGUAUCGGAAUUGGUAUUGUUCCCAAUCAAAGGCAAUAUACCUAUAUGCAGAACAUGACUGUUACUAUUACACUGUAAAUAAGGCAGUAACUCUCAAAAAAUACAAAAUAAAUGACUAAAGCAUAUUAACUCUGCAAACAUUACGUGUUCAGCUGUCAUUCUCUCAAAAUAGGGAAUAAUGCAAUCUGCUCUAAAAUGCCUAUAUAAAGGCUGAAGAAGUAAUCUGCUUUCUUUACAGAGUUUCUCAAACUCUCUUCUAUAGCACAAUUGGCUUUGUGUGUGUUUGGGGAAAAGGUGUCCAAAAGCUUUGUGAAUUAUUCAAGAAAUCUAAAAGUAUUACAGAGGACAUGUCCCAGAACACUUUGUCCCUGGCUCAGGGCCUCUGCUCAGCAGCACACACUGAAGGAAAGCAUAGUCUGAGGCCCUAUAAUUGAUGCCUACUGGUGAUUCUUUUCUUUGCAGAGAUCUUCAGCACCUGCUUGCUUUCUCCCCAUAAGUGCCAGUGCGGAUGCAGACACGCAGUUGUCUCUGCACUCUUUCUAUUUCACCAUGCUUUCUUUUCAUCCUGAUCUCUCUGGAUUAGAAGGCUAAGGAUUUGGGCUUCAGGUCCCAAACUCUUUUAAUCCUGCCUGUAAGUGAAAUGCACACAUGGAAAAUAAUGAGUCAAAGUGACCACUUACCUGAUGAUUUGAUACAGAAUCACAGGAUUGCCAGGGUUAACCUAAUCCAGCCAUCAUUCUACCACCACCAUAAUCACCCCUAAACCAUAUCCCCAAGUUCCACAUCCAGAUGCCACUUGAACAUUUCCAGAGAUGAUGACUCUACCACCUCCCUGGGCAGACUAUUCCAACGUCUAACCGCUGUUUCAGUAAAAAUUUUUUCCUAAUAUCAAAUCUAAACCUCCCCUGAUGCAACUUAAGGUCCUUUCCUCUCGUUUAUUUGAGACAUGGCAGAAGAGACCAACUCCAGCCUCACUACAAGCUCUUUUCAACCUCCUUCAUACUAGAGAACCUCCAGUUCUCUCAGCUGUUCCUCACAGGACUUGUGCUGCAGACCCUUCACCAGCUUCACUGCCCUUCUCUGGAUUUGCUCCAGCAUCUCAAUGUCCUUUUUGAAAUGAGGGGCCCCAAACUAAACACAGGAUUCAAGGUCUGGCCUCACCAGGGCUGAGUACAGCGGGACAAUCACUGUCCUGGUCCUGCUGGCCCCACUAUUGCUGGUACAAACCAGGAUGCCAUUGUUUUUCUUGGCCACCUGGGCACACUGCUGGCUCACAUUCAGCUGUCUGUCAACCAGCACUCCCAGGUCCCUUCCUGCUGAGCAGCUCUCAAGUCACCCCUCCCCAGGCCUGCAGUGCUGCAUGGGGUUGUAUAAAUGGUUAUAUACCAUUGAAUAAAUUCUGGGGAGGGAUGAUGGUACAGAAACAGAUUUAAAUUCUCAGUGUGACCACAGAUACAACUCUUGGCAGCUCCUUUUUCAGCUACAAACUUAUCCAAAUUAUCUGUCUCAGAUAAUCAGCACUACCUGCUGCUCUGCCAUCUAUCUGCUGCAUUUACAGCCACAGCCUGUGGAAAGGAACUGAGACUAACAACCUCACACACAAGUUUAGCCUAUUUCAUAGACCUCCAAGCACUUAGACAUAGCCCAUGGAGACUGAGAAGCACAAAGACACUGGCUAUGAGAUUGCCUAUGUAGCCUUAGUGUGGUCCUUCAUGUGUGUGCAGUAUGGCACAAUCAUCUUUACACACAUGCUCAUUCCAUCCCUGUCUAAUACCACGCACAAGAUGGGCAUAUUCAAGAGUCACUCUUUUCCAAACAUGUCCCAUCAAAACCACAAAGUUUCACAAUAACUAAGUAAGGCACAUUGUAAGGAUGACCUGGAAGGCAGCAGAACCCAUGAAAUAGAGCACUGGGACAUUGUUUUUACUUCCAGGUUUGCCAGCACCAUUCCAGCAAGAUGCUCAUUUCCCCAUUCAUAACAUAUGCAGAAUAAUAUCAGCUUUCUUGGUAAAGUAUUUGAGAUAGAUAUACCAGAAAAAAAGGAUUUUCAAGAGUCAGGUCUUUCUUUUGAGAGACAGGAGUUUCCCACCUCACACAGUCCUCCCUUCUCAGUGGAAAGACUGAAAAAAACUCUACACCUUUCAGUUUAAAAAAAAUCUAAACAUUCCUAAUCCUUGGAUCACACCUGGAACUAUUUAUUACCAAGAUCUGAUUCUGUGAUGGGAUUAGUUCAGCCUCAGUGUUACAGUAACUCCACAGUGGUUUCACUCAUAACAGGGAAUAAAAAUACAUACUUCUGGAGUUAUGUUUCAUAUUAGAUGGUGAGCAUAUUUGUAUGAGCCCUUAUUUUCCCAUUCAGCUUCAGAGGAUCCCAUUACAGAGUUUUGUAAGGUUAUUUUCUACUUCUGCAUUGGGUCAAACUUUCCCCAGGGUACACUUCUAAUUCACGGUCUUCUACAUUAUUAUUACCCUUUUGACCUAAAUGAUUAGCCAAAGUUUGAAGCCCUGAGGGCUGUUUCUAUUAGGAGGAGAAAAUUAUGAAGUCAAGCAUCUUUUAGGCAUAUCUAGUUAAAAACUUCAAAAUCACCCACCCCCAAUUUUACUCCUGUUUCCUUCAAUGCAGGAGACAUACAACAACAAAAAAAAAUCCUUGCCUUCCUUUCUUGAAGCCUUUUCAACCAGCAUUGAGACCUUUGUAGGAUUGCCACAGUGAUUAUCAAAUUCUUUCUUAUUUUCACAUUCUGUUCCUCCUUUGAGUCUCCUGGUAUGCUUUUUCUGCUUUUUUCUAUCUUUGGCUUUUGCCCUACUCUUCCAGACAUAUCCAAUUUCCACUGAGAUUAAUUUAAUAUCCAGUCAUACUCUUCUUCCACUUAAUUCAAGUGUCUGAGCACCCUCACUUAUGCUUUUGUUUCCAGAGGUGAAAUGCGCUGGAGUUUAGGGUGGAGGCUGCUACUGUUUGAGCUGCUGCUAGCAUGAAGUUACCUGUUCCUUGGAAGAAGGAUCUAAUGUUCACCAAAUUCCAUGGUACUUCACACAUUCACAUGUCUGGAAUGCUGGGAGACCUUUCUGGUUUGCUUACAUAGCCCACUCAUCUGGCUCCAGAGGCUGCAGCCAAACCAACACUUCUGCUGGUUGUACCAGAGCAGUGAGUGAUGGCAGCAGCCCUGUCCUCCCCCAGCCUCCUCUCCCUCACUUCUUGUAGGAUAAACAACUGUGAUAGCUCAAAGGAUGGCGUGGCAGAGGGUCAGGAAUGAGAAGUCAGGAGUGAGGGAAAGGCAGGACGGUGCUUCUGGCACUGGUGUCAGCACACCUCACUUGAAGCAUUCAUCAAACCAGCCUCAUCCAUUGCAAUCUCCCUGAGCUCUGAGCAAGCAGAAAUGCUUGUAAAGUGGAUGCCAGUAGCUGCCAGUUCUAAUCUGAGAAUGGUGUGGAAAAGCAGUGAAUUUUUAAAUUAUGGCAGUUAUGUAGAGUAGCAUAAGUGUCUCAAUGCUUUCUACCUGUCAUAUUUCAAUACCUAUCCAAAAUGAAUUAAAGAACAUAACAGAAAACAUGCUCAGGAUGAGUUCCAACUAACACAAGGGGGUUUUGGUAUUCCGUCGCCCUAGCAGCUGAAACCCUUCAAAAUUUUAAGAAUGUAGGAACCUCCAUAAGACCACUGUGGAAGACAAGUGCAAUUUACAGUGACUUGCCCAACAUUAACAAUGGCAUUUGUGGCACAGCACCCACAUCCUCACCUCCUCAGCCAUCUGAUCCCAGGGCUUUCUCACAAAGGGAGUCCAACAAUUAUCUUGGGGAAAACUUUGUGGGAGUAAGCUCUAAAAUUAGCUAUAGGGAAGCACAUCAGAGAAUGCCCUGCUAUUAUUUCCUCUUGCAGAUGCACUUUCUCAAAUAAAACUCCAGCACCAGCUCUUGAGGCAAUGCACUCAGCAUUCUCUAAACUGCCCAAACAGUUGUGCUAUACCUAUAACCCCAAUCUAAUAACACAAAUAUUGAAGCGGAAAAAGCUUGCAUAAAAUCUAUAUUGCCACAUUAAUCUCAAAAGGACAUUUGGCUAAUAUAAAAUUCAGCAUCAUCUUCAUUGAUGGUUCAGGGAAAUAAAGUUGUAAUAAAUUGCCUCAAGGCAAAGUACUAAUGAUUGAAUGAGGCUAUGCAAUUAAGAUGUAAGUUUUUAAUCACCUUUGAGGUUAAACAUAGAAGAAUUAUGUGUAAAAGGGCAAUUAAAUGCCAGAACUUUCAAUCUCAGGUCUCCUCAUCAAAGAUUCAGUUACCUAAAUUGUUUUCCACUAUUUCAGAGGAAGAGCUGGGUGUAACAAUAUUUCAUGCCCCACAAGAGGAAGUAGAGAAUACUCUUUCAAACAAAAGCAUUACCAGGCUAUCAAAAUCUUAACAAAGAAAAAUAAACGAAUCAAGAUUGAUCUCUAGUGCUCUCAAGUUCCUGAAUUCCUAAAUGUUAACAUUAAGUUAUAAAAGGGAAAAGUAGUGGAAAAUGUAGCCAUUAUCAUCUUCAUACCACAUCCUCAAGUAAUGUAUAUCUUCAUGAAAUGUGAGUUGCAUGAGCAGUGCAUUUGAUAUUUCUGUAACUUUUUAUAUAAUUUCACAUGCUCAGUUUAAAAAUAUUUUCCUUCUGAAAUGGUUUAAAAUUUAUUUUUAAGAGAAAAAUGGAUUCAUUUAUGGUGUGAUCCUGCAGAUGCUUAUCUAUCUGACUGUCUUUGAGUAAAAAUAUUCAAAUUAAAGUGUAUUCAAAAUUGUCAAGCCAAUUUAAGUUUUCUUCAAGGGGCACAUGAUAAUUCAUAGUACUUAGUGACUGAAAAAUUAACCAUCUUCAAUCUACUGUUAUUUGUGAAAGUUAUAGGAACAUGCUAUGCAUAGUAUUGAAAAUAGUAACCUUUUGCUACAUUUCCAAGGAAUGUUAAGAUGGAGCAAUUUAAUGACCUGAUUUAUUUCAUGAGGUUUUGUGCCCCUAUCUCUUGCAGAAAAAAAUGGAGAAAAAGAAAUAUUAGAAAAGAGGUUUCUCACCCAAGAUCACUAAUAUUUCUAUUACUGCACUGUAAGAUUUAAAACUACUAUAUUUUCAUAAUAUAAACAAAUAAAGACCAUAUGCAAUUUUCCCUUGGGCAGAAUGAAAAAGGGAGAAAAGAAAAGAAAGAGGCACAUUUGACAGAUGCUAGUCACUUACUACAUGAUAAGCUGUUAGAAGGCGUAUCUAUUUCAAAAUAACUAAAUAAAUUCAAAAUUCACACCAGUUUUUUGCAAGAACUCACUGUUUUUAUUUUAGAUUAGGAAUGUGUUGUUUUGCUCUAGCUUAAAAUAGCCAUACACAAUCCUCCUUUAAAAAAUGCCACACUGAAAAAUGUUCCCUUAAGAUACACAUGACAAAACUGACUCUCCUAGUGAUUGAAGUGAAACCAAAGUACCCCUAAUUAAAAACCUACCUCCAAAGUGUUCAGAAGAGUUUAGGAAGAUGGGAGGAAAAGAAGUGUAUUAAAAUAUGCUGCUUUUUACCUUAUGCAAAAUGUGUGUCUUUGUCUUCUCUUCAUUUACACCUCUAACCCUGUAGCAACAGUCACAGUUGUACUGUACAAGUUUCCCUGUGCAUUGGUUUGAGUAAUUAUUGUUAUUUACUACUGCCAUUUUCAUCAGGUAAAAAGCCAGUUCUCUGACUUUCAAUAAACCUUCAAGUCUCUUCCCAGAGCUAUUUACAACAGCCUUUCCAGCUUAACAUUUCUGAGAUGUGUAGGCAGGUUUCCUGACACAUGGAAAAGAGUGCGAAUUACUGGAGUAUUCAGCAUCAUAAAACACAGUCACUGAUAUAAAAGCUGAAAAUGUGCAUACCAGCUUUUUAUUGUGCGUUUACAACCCAAUUCAAGUUUAUGAAUAAAGUCUCAUUAAAAGUUGAAUUAUUGCAUAUUGGGUCCGCUGGCAUUAUAAUAACACUAAACCAAAAACCAGAAUCAAUUGCGUUUCUCUUGGCUCUAUGCAACAGAGCUUCUCCCUGUACAUCUGUAAUUUUUAAAAAUUCCUCCUGCUUCUACAACAACCUUCUGCUAAUUUUCUUCAAUUUUCUGCUCCACUAACUUAAAAGUCAUUUCCUUAAGAAAACAGAUGACAGACAACCUGAGUGACUGAUUAUAUUGUGCCAUCACUUUGUUUUUUCUCUGAGGCCUUGGUUUAAGAGGAUGGAUGUUAGUGUAAAUGACAGAAAGGGGAGCUUCGCAUAGGAUUUCACUUCUGUUCAAAGACAAGCUAAUGCAGCCUUGCUGAGGUGCAAUCAACUUGACAAAUGGAUGCUGUGCAGCCCUGUGCCUCCCACUGAAACCCGAGAGUCUGAUUUACACAAUAUUCCCCCUGUAAACGGAGGGAAGCCCAAAUUCCAAUCAGACUUAACGCUGCUCGGCUGUAUAAUGGGUUGAUCUGAUAAUUCCUCCCAUAUAAUGAAAUCUGAUAAUAGUGGGAAAAAAUACAUCAGAGAGAAUGGAAUACAUUAAUGAACUUGUAAAAAUACACUUAAGUCUUAACAGAUUUAAUAAACAGAGGAAGGAUGGCUCAAACCGGGAGUCUUCAUAUGUGGUCAGCAGUUCUUGGGUUUAACAAUGAAGCUGACUGAAAAUACAGAGUUUUUAUUUACAAUUGACUACAUUCACCACACCUUUUUUCAGAUGGCCAGGAAAUGAAAAAAAAAAAAAAA